rnacentral:rRNA from 1 species
AGCUCCAAUAGCGUAUAUUAAAGUUGUUGCAGUUAAAAAGCUCGUAGUUGGAUUUCUGGUAGGAGCGACCGUGCCGAACUUGAUUGUUCGUGUAUUGUGUUGUCUUCAGCCAUCCUCGUGGAGAACUUUUCUAACAUUAACUUGUUGGGAUUGGGACCCGCGUCGUUUACUGUGAAAAAAUUAGAGUGUUUAAAGCAGGCAUUAGCUUGAAUACAUUAGCAUGGAAUAAUAAGAUAGGACUUUGGUACUAUUUUGUUGGUUUGCAUACCAAAUUAAUGAUCAACAGGAACAGUUUGAGGAUAUUCGUAUGAACAUGUCAGAGGUGAAAUUCUUGGAUUUUGAUCAGACGAACUACUGCGAAAGCAUUUAUCAAGGAUGUUUUCA